UCUCACAUCCAGGCCACUCUGAUGCAAGGAGUGGGCUCCCAAGGCCUUAGGCAGCUCUGCCCCUGUGGCUCUGCAGGGUACAGUCCCCAUGGUUGCUUUCACAGGCUGGUGUUGAGUGCCUACAGCAUAUCCAGGUACACAGUGUAAGCUGUCAGUGGAUCUACCAUUCUGGGGUCUGGAGGAUGAUGGCUCUCUUCUCACAGCUCCACUAGGCAGUGCCCCAGUGGGGACUCUGUGUAGGGUCUCCAACCCCACAUUUCCCCUCUGCACUGCCCUAGUAGAGGCUCUCCAUGAGGGCUUCACCCCUGUAGCAGACUUCUGCCUGGACAUCCAGGCGUUUCCAUACAUCCUCUGAAAUUGAGGCAGAGGCUCCCAAACCUCAGCUCUUGCCUUCUGCACACCCAUAAGCCCAACAGCACGUGGAAGCUGCCAAGGCUUGGGGCUUGCACCCUCUGAAGCAAUGGUUCAGCUGUACCUUGGCCCCUUUUAGUCACAGCUGGAGCUGGGGCAGCUGGGAAUUAGGCUGCCAUGUCCUAAGGCUGCACAGAGCAGCUGGGCCCAGGGCCUAGCCCACGAAACCAUUUUUUUCCUCCUAGGCCUCUGGGCCUGUUUGGUGGGGCUGGGGAGGGCUGCCACGAAGGUCUCUGAAGUGCCCUGGAGGCAUUUUAUCCAUUGUUUUGGCUAUUAACAUUUGGCUCCUCUUGUGCAAACUUCUGCAGUGAGCUUGAAUUUCUCCCCAGAAAAUGGCUUUUCUUUUCUACCACAUGGUCAGGCUGCAAAUUUUCAAGCUUUUAUACUCUGCUUUGCUUUUAAAUAUAAGUUAUCUCUGCUUAUGCAAAUGAGCAUAGGCUUUUAGAAGCAACCAGGCCACCUCUUGAACACUUUGCUGCUUAGAAAUUUCUGCCGGAUACCCUAAGUCAUCUCUCCCAAGUUCAAAGUUACACAGAUCCCUAAAGCAGGGGCACAAUGCCACCAGUCUCUGCUAAAGCAUAGCAAGAGUGACCUUUGCUCCAGUUCCUGAUAAGUUCCUCAUCUCCAUUUGAGACCACCUCAGCCUGGACUUCAUUGUCCAUAUCACUAUCAGCAUUUUGGUCAAAACUGUUCAACAAGUCUCUAGGAGGUUCCAAACAUCCCUCAUAUUCCUGUCUUCUUCUGAUCCUUCCAAACUGUUGCAACUUCUCCCCGUUACCCAGUUUCAAAGUUGCUUCCACAUUUUUUAGGUAUCUUUAUAGAAAUGUCCCACUUCUCUGGUACCAAUUUUUUGUAUUCUUCCAUUUUUACACUGCUAUGAAGAACUACCUGAGACUGGGUAGUUUAUAAUGAAAAGAGGUUUAAUUGACUUCCAGUUCCACAGACUGUACAGGAGGAUGGCUGGGGAGGCCUCAGGAAAUUUACAAUCAUGGCAGAAGAUGAAAGGGAUGCAACCACAUCUUGUGGCAACAAGAGAGCAAGAGAGUGAAGGGGGAAGUGCUAUACACUUUUAAACAAUCAGAUCUCUUGAGAACUCACUAUCAUGAGAACAGCAAGGGGGAAAUCUGCCCCCAUGAUCUAAUCACCUCCCACCAGAUCCCUCCCCCAACACUGGGAAUUACAAUUCGACAUGAAACUUGGGUGGGGACACAGCCAAACCACAUCAGCAGGGUAGUGGUAGAAAGAGCAUCAAGUGAAUUUGGCCCUUUGUAAACGUAUAAAAAGACAACAAUAUAAUUACAGCUGUCUUAUUAACUUUUUUUUAAAAACUUUCUAUUUUGAAACUUCAGGCUUAAUAGAAAAGUUUAAAAAAUAGAGAAUUCCCAUAUCCCCUUCCCUGAGCUUUCCCUGUGUUAAAUUCUUGUAUAACCAUAAUAGAGUUAUCAAAACUAAGAAGUCAUCACUGGUACUGUAUAAUUAACUAAACUACAGAGUUUAUUUGGAUUUCUCCAAUUUUUCCACUAAUGUCCUUGUUCUAUUCCAGGAUUCACUGCAGGAUCCCACAUUGCACUUACUUAGUUGUUGUAUCUUUUUGGUUUCUUCAGACCAGUGACAGUUCCUCAGUAUUUCCCUGUCUUUCAUGACCUUCACACUUUUGAACAGUAUCCAUCGUGUAUUUUGUAGAAUGUCCUUCAAUUUGGAUUUGUCUGUAAUGUUCUCAUGAUUUGAUUAAAGUUAUGCAUUUUUUGACCAGAA
rnacentral:lncRNA from 10 species